AUUGAACGCUGGCGGCAGGCCUAACACAUGCAAGUCGAACGAGUGGCGGACGGGUGAGUAAUGUCUGGGAAACUGCCUGAUGGAGGGGGAUAACUACUGGAAACGGUAGCUAAUACCGCAUACCAUCAGAUGUACCCAUAUGGGAUUAGCUAGUAGGUAAGGUAAUGGCUUACCUAGGCGACGAUCCCUAGCUGGUCUGAGAGGAUGAUCAGCCACACUGGGACUGAGACCCGGCCCAGACUCCUACGGGAGGCAGCAGUGGGGAAUAUUGCACAAUGGGCGCAAGCCUGAUACAGCCAUGCCGCGUGUAUGAAGAAGGCCUUCGGGUUGUAAAGUACUUUCAGUCGGGAGGCGUUACCGGCAGAAGAAGCACCGGCUAACUCCGUGCCAGCCGCCGCGGUAAUUC
rnacentral:rRNA from 1 species